GGGUACCGUUAAAAUUGAACCGGUUACAGAUUGUAGCAGUACACCUGCAGUGGGUAUCAUUAAAGCCGAAUAAGAGGUAUCAUAAUAUACGAUGGGUCAAAGAUUCCGGCACAUUAAAACUGAACAGGUAAUGCUGGUUUCUUCCUGACAUUCUGGAGGCAUCUGCAGUCCUGGAUAUACAGUAAACUGCUUCCAGCACAUGAUAGACUAAUAACAUCAGUAACCCUCUCAAGAAUUCAGCGUGCAGAUGACUCCAGCAUCUACGUCCUUCGCCUGCAUCCGUGCAGCCAAUGUCCUGAUGGAGCUGCCUUCCCCCGGCUGUGCCUCUUCCACGGGGAUAACUCGCAGUUCACGCCGCUAAAGUGGAGGUAGAAGCAAGGCUCAUGAAUGCGUUGGUUCAGGAGCCUCUGAGCAGGAAAUGGCAACUUUUUGUAAGCUGGGUGGAGGACCGUAGGGAGAGCCGAGGGUUGCAGGACGCCACAUCAGCUCCGCUGUGGACUCCACGGCUGCAUUCUGGUCAGGAGUCUUCAGCGAUUCCAGUGCAUGUGGACCAGAGCAGGGCGAUCAUUUAGCAACGUUCAGGAGCCUGCAGCCCUCUCAGGACGAGCAUGCAUCCUCCACACAAAAACAACACAGUCUGCUUCCAGCUCGCGCGCACUGCUUCUGCCUGUGCAGCCGCACCGACGCUGCCCUCCAUGCUUAUUCAGUCAGAGUGGUUAGAUAACGUGGAAGCAGACGAGAGGCGUCCCUGCUGCACUGCGAAGCCACACGGCAUGCAGGACAGAUGUUCGGACGGCCGCGUUUUUUUUUUUUUUUUUUUUUUUUUUUUUUUCUGGCGGGGAAACCAAAGUGAGCCGCGCUCUCAGCAGGGAUUCAGAGGUGUACCAACGUAGAGGCUGCUGCUGAUUGAUGCAAAAACAGCAGAUGCGUCAGCACUGCAGACGGGGGGGAGGGGAGGAAGCUAAACGCUCCGUAGCCUCCGAGGACAGAAGCAACUGUUUCCUUUACAGAAACGACUGCAGACGAUUUUUACCCAAACUCACAAACUACACCGCAAACACUGGAUCUGAAGAAAGUA